AGGUCUAGCCUGCCCAGUGACCUUGUUAAACGGCCGCAGUACUCUUACCGCGCAAAGGUAGCAUAAUCACUUGUUCUUUAAAUGAGGACUUGUAUCAACGGCAUCACGAGGGUUCCACUGUCUCCUUUCUCUAAUCAGUGAAACUAAUCUCCCCGUGAAGAAGCGGGGAUAAACCUAUAAGACGAGAAGACCCCAUGGAGCUUUAAAUCUAGCUACACCCCAAACUAAUAUACCCUCUCAACAACCGGGAACCUGUACGCUCAGUUUUAGGUUGGGGUGACCGCGGAGCACAACAAAACCUCCUUGAUGAAUGAGACUACUCUCUUAUCCAAGAGCUACACCUCUAAGAAUUAGCAUACUAAUGUAAAAUGAUCCGAUAAACGAUCAACGAACCAAGUUACCCUGGGGAUAACAGCGCAAUCCAUUUCGAGAGCCCCUAUCGACAAAUGGGUUUACGACCUCGAUGUUGGAUCAGGAUAUCCCAGUGGUGCAGCAGCUACUAAUGGUUCGUUUGUUCAACCAUUAAAAUCCUACGUGAUCUGAGU
rnacentral:rRNA from 1 species